CAGUUCGGAUCGGAGUCUGCAACCCGACUCCGUGAAGCUGGAUUCGCUAGUAAUCGCGCAUCAGCCACGGCGCGGUGAAUACGUUCCCAGGCCUUGUACACACCGCCCGUCAAGCCAUGGAAGCCGGGAGUGCCUGAAGUACGCGACCGCAAGGAGCGUCCUAAGGUAAAACCGGUGACUGGGGCUAAGUCGUAACAAGGUACC
rnacentral:rRNA from 1 species